AUUAGAUAGUUGGUGAGGUAACGGCUCACCAAGUCAAUGAUCUUUAGGGGGCCUGAGAGGGUGAUCCCCCACACUGGUACUGAGACACGGACCAGACUCCUACGGGAGGCAGCAGUGAGGAAUAUUGGACAAUGGGUGGAAGCCUGAUCCAGCCAUCCCGCGUGAAGGACGACGGCCCUAUGGGUUGUAAACUUCUUUUGUACAGGGAUAAACCUACUCUCGUGAGGGUAGCUGAAGGUACUGUACGAAUAAGCACCGGCUAACUCCGUGCCAGCAGCCGCGGUAAUACAGAGGGUGCAAGCGUUAAUCGGAAUUACUGGGCGUAAAGCGCGCGUAGGUGGUUACUUAAGUCAGAUGUGAAAGCCCCGGGCUUAACCUGGGAACUGCAUCUGAUACUGGCAAGCUUGAGUCUCGUAGAGGGGGGUAGAAUUCCAGGUGUAGCGGUGAAAUGCGUAGAGAUCUGGAGGAAUACCGGUGGCGAAGGCGGCCCCCUGGACGAAGACUGACGCUCAGGUGCGAAAGCGUGGGGAG
rnacentral:rRNA from 1 species